rnacentral:rRNA from 1 species
GAUGAACGCUGGCGGCGUGCCUAAUACAUGCAAGUCGAGCGAACGGACGAGAAGCUUGCUUCUCUGAUGUUAGCGGCGGACGGGUGAGUAACACGUGGAUCACCUACCUAUAAGACUGGGAUAACUUCGGGAAACCGGAGCUAAUACCGGAUAAUAUUUUGCACCGCAUGGUUCAAAAGUGAAAGACGGUCUUGCUGUCACUUAUCGAUGGAUCCGCGCUGCAUUAGCUAGUUGGUAAGGUAACGGCUUACCAAGGCAACGCUGCAUAGCCGACCUGAGAGGGUGAUCGGCCACACGGGAACGGAGACACGGUCCAGACUCCUACGGGAGGCAGCAGUAGGGAAUCUGCCGCAAUGGGCGAAAGCCUGACGGAGCAACGCCGCGUGAGUGAUGAAGGUCUUCGGAUCGUAAAGCUCUGUUAUUAGGGAAGAACAUAUGUGUAAGUAACUGUGCACAGCGUGACGGUACCGAAUCAGAAAGCCACGGCUAACUACGUG